AACCUUAUGGACCUGCGGGCGUAUACCUGCGGAAGGAUCAUUACCGAGUUUUCAACUCCCUAACCCUUCUGUGAACCUACCUAUCGUUGCUUCGGCGGACUCGCCCCAGCCCGGACGCGGACUGGACCAGCGGCCCGCCGGGGACCUCAAACUCUUGUAUUCCAGCAUCUUCUGAAUACGCCGCAAGGCAAAACAAAUGAAUCAAAACUUUUAACAAUGGAUCUCAGAUCGGAAGAGCAC
rnacentral:misc_RNA from 1 species